rnacentral:misc_RNA from 1 species
UCCCCGUUAUCCGAGGCGGUUUCGCUAGAGUGCCCGACAUUACUCGCUGGCAACUAAGGACAGGGGUUGCGCUCGUUGCGCCACUUAAGGCAACACCUCACGGCACGAGCUGACGACAGCCAUGCAGCACCUGAGCAGGAUGGUAUUGCUACCUCGUUGGGCUUUCACCCUUCUACUACCUGCAUGUCCAGCCUGGGUAAGGUUCUUCGCGUUGCGUCGAAUUAAACCACAUGCUCCACCGCUUGUGCGGGCCCCCGUCAAUUCCUUUGAGUUUCAGCCUUGCGGCCGUACUCCCCAGGCGGGGUACUUCCUGCGUUAGCGCCGGCACUCAGGGGGUCGCUCCCCCAAGCACCUAGUACCCAUCGUUUACGGCGUGGACUAC